rnacentral:rRNA from 1 species
GACGAACGCUGGCGGCGUGCCUAAUACAUGCAAGUAGAACGCUGAAGGAGGAGCUUGCUCUUCUGGAUGAGUUGCGAACGGGUGAGUAACGCGUAGGUAACCUGCCUGGUAGCGGGGGAUAACUAUUGGAAACGAUAGCUAAUACCGCAUAAGAGUAGAUGUUGCAUGACAUUUACUUAAAAGGUGCAAUUGCAUCACUACCAGAUGGACCUGCGUUGUAUUAGCUAGUUGGUGGGGUAACGGCUUACCAAGGCGACGAUACAUAGCCGACCUGAGAGGGUGAUCGGCCACACUGGGACUGAGACACGGCCCAGACUCCUACGGGAGGCAGCAGUAGGGAAUCUUCGGCAAUGGACGGAAGUCUGACCGAGCAACGCCGCGUGAGUGAAGAAGGGUUUCGGAUCGUAAAGCUCUGUUGUAAGUGAAGAACGAGUGUGAGAGUGGAAAGUUCACACUGUGACGGUAUCUGACCAGAAAGGGACGGCUAACUACGUG